rnacentral:tRNA from 1 species
GCUGUUAUAGCUCAGUCGGUAGAGCGUCGCCUUGGUAAGGCGGAGGUCACGGGUUCAAGUCCCGCUAACAGCU